rnacentral:rRNA from 1 species
GACGAACGCUGGCGGCGUGCUUAACACAUGCAAGUCGAACCGACAGGCCCUGCUUGCAGUGUUCUCGCGUGGCGAACGGGUGAGUAACUCGUGGGUGAUCUGCCCUGCUCUUCGGGAUAAGCCUGUGCAACUGGGUCUAAUACCGGCUAGGUGCCAUUUUUAGUGUGAUGGUUCGAAAGUUUUUUCCGUUUAGGCUGAGCUCGCGGGCUAUCUGCUUGUUGCUGGGGUAAUGGCCUACCAAGGCGGCGAGGGGUAGCCGGCCUGCGGGGGUGGACGGCCACAUUGAGACUGAGAGAAGGCACAGACAGCGACGGGAGGGAGAAGGGGGGAAGAUUGAACAAGGGGCGCAAGGCUGAUGCAGAGAGGCCGCGGAGGGGAUGACGGCGUUCGGGGUGAAGACUCAAUGCGCUAGGAACGAAGCUUGUUGUGACGGUACCUAGAUAAAAAGCACCGGCUAACUACGUG